CACGUAGGGUGCGAGCGUUGUCCGGAAUUAUUGGGCGUAAAGAGCUUGUAGGCGGUUUGUCGCGUCUGCUGUGAAAUCUCAAGGCUCAACCUUGAGCUUGCAGUGGGUACGGGCAGACUAGAGUGUGGUAGGGGAGACUGGAACUCCUGGUGUAGCGGUGAAAUGCGCAGAUAUCAGGAGGAACACCGAUGGCGAAGGCAGGUCUCUGGGCCACUACUGACGCUGAGAAGCGAAAGCAUGGGGAGCGAACAGG
rnacentral:rRNA from 1 species